UCCUUGGUGGUUCAGUGGUUAGGACUUUGCACUUUCACUGCCAAGGCCACAGGUUCAAUUCCUAGUCUGGGUA
rnacentral:tRNA from 1 species